CUUUAACUAGGUCUUAAAGGGACACUAUAAGCACCCAGACCACUUCAGCUCAUUGAAGUGGUCUGGGUGCAAACUCCCAGUUUUUCUAAACUGCAAUAAUUACCAUCCAGGGUUAACUCCACCUCUAGUGGCUGUCUACCAAACAGCCACUAGAGGGACUUCUGGGUUAAUAGGCGACUUUUCCUCCCCCGCCGGCUGAUGUCAGCAGGGGUGGAACUGGACCCAGGUAAGUGACCACAGAGGGGGCAGUAAGGGGGUGAGGGGCCUUGACAGAGGGUGUAGCUGUAGUGCCAGGAAAACUAGUGUUUUUUUCCAGUGCUUGGCCUCAAACUAAAGCUCAUUUGCUCUAUGUAUCCACUUCUUCCAUAGACGGUCCAAACAAUAGCGAUUAACAUUUAAAUUAUUUACCAAAUAAUUACCUUCACUAGGCUCGCUUUAAGAAAAAAGAUGAAUGGUUUGAUAGAUUAUGUGUGAUUGCUCUUCGAAUUCCUCUUCUAGAAAAAGCCUCCUAUUCCCAGAGCUUUGAUAAGAAAACAGAAACCGCUGUGGUGGCUUGAAAUCUGAGAAUCCACAAGAGUCCCUAUUUUAACAUGUUUAACUGGUGUAAUUCCCAGGUUUUACUAUUAACAUGACGUAAAGUCAUGAUUUUAAUAAAGACACGGAGGCGGGUAUUAUGCAUAACUCUUUCUUUAUUUCCUCAGCAGCAAAGAUAGAGGAAUA